CUUGCUCCUUGGGUGGCGAGUGGCGGACGGGUGAGGAAUACAUCGGAAUCUACUCUGUCGUGGGGGAUAACGUAGGGAAACUUACGCUAAUACCGCAACGACCUACGGGUGAAAGCAGGGGACCUUCGGGCCUUGCGCGAUUGAAUGAGCCGAUGUCGGAUUAGCUAGUUGGCGGGGUAAAGGCCCACCAAGGCGACGAUCCGUAGCUGGUCUGAGAGGAUGAUCAGCCACACUGGAACUGAGACACGGUCCAGACUCCUACGGGAGGCAGCAGUGGGGAAUAUUGGACAAUGGGCGCAAGCCUGAUCCAGCCAUACCGCGUGGGUGAAGAAGGCCUUCGGGUUGUAAAGCCCUUUUGUUGGGAAAGAAAUCCAGCUGGCUAAUACCCGGUUGGGAUGACGGUACCCAAAGAAUAAGCACCGGCUAACUUCGUGCCAGCAGCCGCGGUAAUACGAAGGGUGCAAGCGUUACUCGGAAUUACUGGGCGUAAAGCGUGCGUAGGUGGUCGUUUAAGU
rnacentral:rRNA from 1 species